ACAGCUUUUGUAAUGAGAAAACAAAUUGUGGUAACAGCUUUUGUAAUGAGAAAACAAAUUGUGGUAAAUUUAAAGUGCAAAGACCCAAUUACUGUCACACUAUUUGUAUUAAUCGAAAUCGCUAAGUUUUUGGUGCAACGUGACUUUGACCUUUAUUUAAAACCUUGA